rnacentral:rRNA from 1 species
UUAUAUCCCAUUGCUUACCUACCCUGUUGCUUCUACUGGACUUGUUUUACCUUCUUCAGGUAAGACCUCAGGCUUGUGUAAACUACACUUGUCAGAGAGCUGCCAGUAGUAAGACCACUUACAAAAACUUGUCUUGAAAUAUAUCGUCUGAAUUUCUUGUCUUGAAUGAAAUAAAACUUUCAACAACGGAUCUCUAGGCUCUUGCAUCGAUGAAGAACGCAGUGAAAUGCGAUAAGUAAUGUGAAUUGCAGAAUCUCGUGAAUCAUUGAAUCUUUGAACGCACAUUGCGCCCUAUGGUAUUCCAUAGGGCAUACCUGUUUGAGCGUCAACUCUCCCAUCUUCUCAAGCAUUAUUUUAUAAUGUUUGGAUUUGUUUGGAGAGGCCCCUCAUUUAUAGAGGUGCCCUUCAGAAAUGUAUAUGGCAGUAUAGUUUAUAUCUGAGCCAGGCGUAAUAAUGAAUAAAGUCGCUGAGCUUACUAUAAUUGUACUUGCCUGAACCCACCCAUUGUUAGUUUGGGUGACCUCAGAUCAGGUAGGGAUACCCGCUGAACUUAAGCAUAUCAUA